GAGAGACGGAGAGCCUGUGCAUGGGUAUGCAUUUCAGCAAGGCAGCCGUCACACACUGCCCGUCCCUCCAGGAGAAACAGAGGCCACGCACACAACUGAUGCUCCAGGCGUGGAUGGUGAAGGAAAUGCAAAUGCCAUAGAAGAUAUACAGAAGUACUGCCUGGCACUUGCUGCAGCUUUCCUGGUUUCCAUGCUGGUAGCGAUGAUUACGUGCUGUCUUCUUAUCCAGCAACGGUGGCAGAGAAACCAGU
rnacentral:lncRNA from 1 species